UUGCAGCCAAUUAAGUUGACUGAGCUCUUUUCCCCAUGAGGGCCCGGCGUGCAAUGUCUGCAAACAGCAGCCUCCUGGGUGUAGUGUACCAGCCUGUUGCCUGUAUGGGUUGCCCUAAGGGACCUUGGAGACAGCU